rnacentral:rRNA from 1 species
GGAAGGUAAAUCCGCCCAGGGUUAGCCGGGUCCUAAGGCGAGGCCGAAAGGCGUAGUCGAUGGAUAGCAGGUUAAUAUUCCUGCGCACCUGUUGAGAUCAAAGCACAGUGCGGAUCUCCAAGCUCUUCUGGACUGUUAGACGUCCAGGCCUUCGGGCCGUUGAAGGGGGAGGGGGUUCCUAGAAAAGCUGUGUGGGCAAUACAGGUCCCGUACUAAAACUGACACAGGUAGACGAGGCGAAUAGCCUCAGGCGCUCGAGAGAAUGGUCGUGAAGGAAUUAGGCAAAAUCACUCCGUAAGUUCGCGAGAAGGAGGCCCUUCGGGGCGCAGAGAAAAGGCCCUGGCAACUGUUUAUCAAAA